rnacentral:piRNA from 1 species
UGUAGAUUCUCUGGUCAUUGAAC